rnacentral:rRNA from 1 species
GCGAAAAGAACCCCGGCGAGGGGAGUGAAAAAGAACCUGAAACCGUGUACGUACAAGCAGUGGGAGCACCCUUUGGGGUGUGACUGCGUACCUUUUGUAUAAUGGGUCAGCGACUUAUAUUCUGUAGCAAGGUUAACCGAAUAGGGGAGCCGGAGGGAAACCGAGUCUUAACCGGGCGUUAAGUUGCAGGGUAUAGACCCGAAACCCGGUGAUCUAGCCAUGGGCAGGUUGAAGGUUGGGUAACACUAACUGGAGGACCGAACCGACUAAUGUUGAAAAAUUAGCGGAUGACCUGUGGCUGGGGGUGAAAGGCCAAUCAAACCGGGAGAUAGCUGGUUCUCCCCGAAAGCUAUUUAGGUAGCGCCUCGUGAAUUCAUCUCCGGGGGUAGAGCACUGUUUCGGCUAGGGGGCCAUCCCGGCUUACCAACCCGAUGCAAACUGCGAAUACCGGAGAAUGUUAUCACGGGAGACACACGGCGGGUGCUAACGUCCGUCGUGAAGAGGGAAACAACCCAGACCGCCAGCUAAGGUCCCAAAGUCAUGGUUAAGUGGGAAACGAUGUGGGAAGGCCCAGACAGCCAGGAUGUUGGCUUAGAAGCAGCCAUCAUUUAAAGAAAGCGUAAUAGCUCACUGGUCGAGUCGGCCUGCGCGGAAGAUGUAACGGGGCUAAACCAUGCACCGAAGCUGCGGCAGCGACGCUGAUGCGUUGUUGGGUAGGGGAGCGUUCUGUAAGCCUGCGAAGGUGUGUCGUGAGGCAUGCUGGAGGUAUCAGAAGUGCGAAUGCUGACAUAAGUAACGAUAAAGCGGGUGAAAAGCCCGCUCGCCGGAAGACCAAGGGUUCCUGUCCAACGUUAAUCGGGGCAGGGUGAGUCGACCCCUAAGGCGAGGCCGAAAGGCGUAGUCGAUGGGAAACGGGUUAAUAUUCCCGUACUUGGUGUUACUGCGAAGGGGGGACGGAGAAGGCUAUGUUGGCCGGGCGACGGUUGUCCCGGUUUAAGCGUGUAGGUGUGUGUUCCAGGUAAAUCCGGUUCACUUUAACACUGAGGCGUGAUGACGAGGCACUACGGUGCUGAAGCAACAAAUGCCCUGCUUCCAGGAAAAGCCUCUAAGCAUCAGGUAACAUCAAAUCGUACCCCAAACCGACACAGGUGGUCAGGUAGAGAAUACCAAGGCGCUUGAGAGAACUCGGGUGAAGGAACUAGGCAAAAUGGUGCCGUAACUUCGGGAGAAGGCACGCUGACACGUAGGUGAAGUGAUUUACUCAUGGAGCUGAAGUCAGUCGAAGAUACCAGCUGGCUGCAACUGUUUAUUAAAAACACAGCACUGUGCAAACACGAAAGUGGACGUAUACGGUGUGACGCCUGCCCGGUGCCGGAAGGUUAAUUGAUGGGGUCAGCGCAAGCGAAGCUCCUGAUCGAAGCCCCGGUAAACGGCGGCCGUAACUAUAACGGUCCUAAGGUAGCGAAAUUCCUUGUCGGGUAAGUUCCGACCUGCACGAAUGGCGUAAUGAUGGCCAGGCUGUCUCCACCCGAGACUCAGUGAAAUUGAACUCGCUGUGAAGAUGCAGUGUACCCGCGGCAAGACGGAAAGACCCCGUGAACCUUUACUAUAGCUUGACACUGAACAUUGAGCCUUGAUGUGUAGGAUAGGUGGGAGGCUUUGAAGUGUGGACGCCAGUCUGCAUGGAGCCGGCCUUGAAAUACCACCCUUUAAUGUUUGAUGUUCUAACGUGGACCCGUGAUCCGGGUUGCGGACAGUGUCUGGUGGGUAGUUUGACUGGGGCGGUCUCCUCCUAAAGAGUAACGGAGGAGCACGAAGGUUGGCUAAUCCUGGUCGGACAUCAGGAGGUUAGUGCAAUGGCAUAAGCCAGCUUGACUGCGAGCGUGACGGCGCGAGCAGGUGCGAAAGCAGGUCAUAGUGAUCCGGUGGUUCUGAAUGGAAGGGCCAUCGCUCAACGGAUAAAAGGUACUCCGGGGAUAACAGGCUGAUACCGCCCAAGAGUUCAUAUCGACGGCGGUGUUUGGCACCUCGAUGUCGGCUCAUCACAUCCUGGGGCUGAAGUAGGUCCCAAGGGUAUGGCUGUUCGCCAUUUAAAGUGGUACGCGAGCUGGGUUUAGAACGUCGUGAGACAGUUCGGUCCCUAUCUGCCGUGGGCGCUGGAGAACUGAGGGGGGCUGCUCCUAGUACGAGAGGACCGGAGUGGACGCAUCACUGGUGUUCGGGUUGUCAUGCCAAUGGCACUGCCCGGUAGCUAAAUGCGGAAGAGAUAAGUGCUGAAAGCAUCUAAGCACGAAACUUGCCCCGAGAUGAGUUCUCCCUGAGACUUAGAGUCUCCUGAAGGAACGUUGAAGACGACGACGUUGAUAGGCCGGGUGUGUAAGCGCAGCGAUGCGUUGAGCUAACCGGUACUAAUGAACCGUGAGGCUUAACCUUACAACGCCGAAG